rnacentral:tRNA from 1 species
UGGGGUACACCUCAGUGGCAGAGCACUUGCCUAGCAUGCAUGAGGCCCUGGGUUCUAACCCUAGUACCAUAA